GCCNNGGGGGGGUUNNUUCUUCUUGUGCGGUUCUAUGUUUUUACACACACACUGUAAUAAAGUUUCAUGGAAUGCAUGACGCGUCUAACGCAAUACAAUACAACUUUCAGCAACGGAUCUCUUGGCUCUCGCAUCGAUGAAGAACGCAGCGAAAUGCGAUAAGUAAUGUGAAUUGCAGAAUUCAGUGAAUCAUCGAAUCUUUGAACGCACCUUGCGCCCUUUGGCUAUUCCAGAGGGCAUGCCUGUUUGAGUAUCAUGAACACCUCAACUCUCAUGGUUUUGCCAUGAUGAGCUUGGACUUUGGGGGUCUUGCUGGCCUGCGGUCGGCUCCUCUCAAAUGAAUCAGCUUGCCAGUGUUUGGUGGCAUCACGGGUGUGAUAACUAUCUACGCUUGUGGUUUUCCACCAGGUAACCUUCAGUGAUGGAGGUUCGCUGGAGCUCAUAAACGUCUCUCCUUAGCGAGGACAGUUUCUUGAAUGUUUGAUCUCAAAUCAGG
rnacentral:rRNA from 1 species